rnacentral:rRNA from 1 species
AAUGAACGCUGGCGGCGUGCUUAACACAUGCAAGUCGUGCGCGAAGGAGGCUUCGGUCUCUGGAGAGCGGCGAACGGGUGAGUAACACGUGGGUAAUCUACCUGGGAGCGGGGGAGUAACCUAGGGGAAACGUACGGGCGUAAUACCGCAUACGUUGGUUGGGCUACGGUUCGACCAAGAAAGACUGGCCUCUGCUUGCAAGCUAGCGCUCCUGGAGGAGCCCGCGGCUGAUUAGCAGUUGGUGAGGUAAAGGCUCACCAAGGCAUCGAUCAGUAGCCGGCCUGAGAGGGUGAUCGGCCACACUGGGACUGAGACACGGCCCAGACUCCUACGGGAGGCAGCAGUGGGGAAUAUUGGACAAUGGGCGCAAGCCUGAUCCAG